UACGGGGGGGGCAAGCGUUGUUCGGAAUUACUGGGCGUAAAGGGCUUGUAGGCGGCCAACUAAGUCCGACGUGAAAUCCCCAGGCUUAACCGGGGAACUGCGUCUGAUACUGGAUGGCUUGAGUUUGGGAGAGGGAUGCGGAAUUCCAGGUGUAGCGGUGAAAUUCGUAGAUAUCGGGAGGAACACCAGUGGCGAAGGCGGCGAUCUGGGAAGAUACUGACGCUGAGGCGCGAAAGCGUGGGGAGCAAACAGG
rnacentral:rRNA from 1 species